rnacentral:rRNA from 1 species
UACGGAGGGUGCAAGCGUUAUCCGGAUUUACUGGGUUUAAAGGGUGUGUAGGCGGGUCUUUAAGUCAGUGGUGAAAUCUCCGAGCUCAACUUGGAAACUGCCAUUGAUACUAUUGAUCUUGAAUUUUGUUGAGGUAGGCGGAAUAAGUCAUGUAGCGGUGAAAUGCAUAGAUAUGACUUAGAACACCAAUUGCGAAGGCAGCUUGCU